rnacentral:rRNA from 1 species
GAUGAACGCUAGCGGCAGGCUUAAUACAUGCAAGUCGUGGGGCAGCAUGAGUGUAGCAAUACAUUUGAUGGCGACCGGCAAACGGGUGCGGAACACGUACACAACCUUCCUUCAAGUGGGGAAUAGCCCAGGGAAACUUGGAUUAAUACCCCGUAACAUUAUGAAGUGGCAUCACUUUAUAAUUAUAGCUCCGCGCUUGAUGAUGGGUGUGCGCCUGAUUAGGUAGUUGGCGGGGUAACGGCCC